GGCAUCUGUAGCCUGGGGAAUCGGCCCCGGGGUAUCCACGACCCGACCGGAAUCGGGUGAGACCAGAGGAA
rnacentral:ncRNA from 1 species